rnacentral:rRNA from 1 species
UACAGAGGUCUCAAGCGUUGUUCGGAUUCAUUGGGCGUAAAGGGUGCGUAGGCGGCGCGGUAAGUCGGGUGUGAAAUCUCGGAGCUCAACUCUGAAACUGCACUCGAUACUGCUUUGCUCGAGGACUGGAGAGGAGAUUGGAAUUCACGGUGUAGCAGUGAAAUGCGUAGAUAUCGUGAGGAAGACCAGUGGCGAAGGCGGAUCU